GUUACAGCUUGCGAGAUGUAUAGAAGUUGGACUCCCAGCAUUGAUCAUACUGAUAAUUUUAUCUCAGUAUCUUCCUCACUUGUUCAAGUGUAAAAGAUCGAUAUGCGAGCAAUUCGCUGUUCUGUUUACAAUAGCGAUCGUCUGGGCUUACGCAGAGAUUCUGACUGCAGCUGGAGCUUACGACAAAAGACCUGAUAAUACACAGCUCAGUUGUCGAACAGACCGGUCAGGUCUCAUUAGUGCUUCUCCAUGGGUGAGAGUUCCAUAUCCAUUGCAAUGGGGACGUCCAAGUUUUCAUGGAAGCGAU